rnacentral:lncRNA from 1 species
UCAGCUCCGUAAGCACUUCAUCACGCUCAAUCCCAAAUAUUUUAAUUUCGAGGCCUUAAAAUACACAAAGACCAAAAGCCAGUCUUUUGAAAAUGACAAUACCUUUGCGGUACAUUCUCAUAAAAUGAAAACUAAAUAUACAGUAAGGAUUCCAAAGAAAUGUAAAAUUGGACAUGUAACCUUUAAACAAACUCAAUUCUCAAUAAUAAAAAAAAAUAAAUCCGAAAUUAUAACAAUAACAAACUCAAACAAAAAAAAAAUCAAAACUUAAAUAACGAAUAGCUACAGCAGUUAAUAGCGAGAAAUGACAUCUUAUUCGGCUUCAAUUUUAUUUGAAAAAAAAAAAAAAAGUUAACCUUUUUGAGAUCGGUGGCUUUAAUAGUGCCUUCUUCAGAGACCUGGACCUGGUACUUUUUACCGGUCCGUUCAUCGAUGAUCGUCAACGCACCCUUAACGUUGGGCGGAGGCGGGACGGAUUGAGCGGAGACGCAGGAACGUUCUAGAAUUGAGGACGGAACGGCGUCGGAAUGGUCAUGCGAAGCUGAAGCUGAAGCUGAGAGGUGAGCCGAGAGCACCGCUAAACGGCUACGAGCCACUACCGAAGAAUCCAAAUUCUCCAUCUUUUCUUUUGCUCAGAUUCAGUUGUAAAGAAAGAGAUGAAAAGAGAGAGUAGGAAGUGUUUCGUGAUUGUUACAGCUCUUUAUAUAUCCGUAGAGAUCGCUUGCGAAAGUACGCUGUAAGCAUUUACGCUAUUGCGUCUAACCAAUUAAAUAAUAAAUAAUAAAUCAAAUGAUUAUCUUCUCUCAUCCACCUAUUGACUGACUAUUGUGCAAUACAAUUUGGAUUUUGUUUCUUUCUUUUUUCUUCUUCUCCUUCUUUUUUUUUUUUUAAUGUAUGUUACUAUAUUUAGGAGCACAAACAAAUGAACUCUCAAAAGUUAAUUUCCAAAACAUAUAUAUAUAUAAUCCAUCUAAUUCAAAAUUUUAACAUAUAUAUAUAUAUACAGUAUAAUAGUUAAAAUUUUAACCAACUUUAAAGCCAUGGAAAUUCACAUCAAAUCAACAAAUUUAAAGUGCACAACAUAAAAUAGAAACUGUACCAAGUAGCAACUUUCAAUUCCCAUCCACAUGUGAUACAGCAGCACGUUAGAUUUUGAUUUUAGAUCAAUUCUUAUUAAAAUCACAAUACUUUUUUUUUUUGAUGUAAAAUAAGUCCAAUUACAAAGACCUAUAAAUUUGAUAAUUUCUUCAAAAAAAUUUUGCGACAUAUAUCAGUGUGUUUGAAUAGUAAUUAUUUGAGAUAAAUUUGUAAAAAAAGACUAUAGCACUUUUUUAAUGUGAUGUAUGUAAAAUAAAAAGAUAGUUAAAAAAUAUAUUGAUGAUAUAAGCAAAUCAGUGUAUAUAAAUAAAGUAAAAAUAAUGUAUAACCUAAACACACAUUAAAAUUUGAGCUCUCUAACAUCAACCCUUCCGAUAUCACACUAGAAAGAAGCUUCUUUGGUGUAUUGUAAGAAAACAAAAGAUUAAUUUCUAAAGCAUCAAAAUAACGGACUACUUGUUUUCACGUAAUAGCGUGUUUGAAUAGCAAAUUAUUUGAAAUAUUAUUUAGAAUAAUUAUUAGAACACUUUUUUUGUAAUAUAGUGUACGUAAAAUAAAAAUGUGAUUGAAAAGAUAAAAAUGUGUUCUGAGAGAUAUGUUCAUAAAGAAAGCAAAUAAUUUUUGAGUAAGUGCUGGAAAACGUGCACAUUUCACAUGGCCCAAAUGGUCGGUUUUCGCUCGUAGCUUGCAAAUAAAAAAUAAAAAGCAAACAAAUGGGAAAAGUGAACUACAAAAGAACAAGGAAAGAUUUAAUAUUAACCUAUAAUAAUCCCAAAAUACAAGAUCGGGAAUCCAAAAUACCCAAUAAAAUAAUCAAAUAAUCAGAGCAGAGGAAAUAUUUAUCUCAUUGGUCAGCAAACCCGACUUUGAAUUCUGGGCUUUCAAUUCUGGGCAGAGAGUAGAACAGCUACGGAGGCUUCGGUGCAGCCGGACACGUCCCAUUUCCGAAAAACAAAUACUGCCACCUACUAAUUGCAUUGCAAAUUGCGGCAGUGUGCUUUCUUAAACUUCAUAAAGUCUUGAACAAAAGUUACUGCGGAUUAUAUACCGACCAAACAAAAUUGUUUGUUCAUAGUAUCCCACCCAACAGCAGCCGCCUCUAACCACUAUAAUAUAUAACCUCGACAAAACUGUAGCUUGAUCCAGCUGAAGAUAUAGCUCAUUCAGUGUUUUUUGUGCCGUAAGCGAUGAAAUUUACACUGAUAUCAUCAGAUAGAGACCAUUUUCCUGUCAAAGGGUUAUACACAAACCCUGCCAUCUCUUGAACCUGGACAAACCCCAAGAGCAUGAGACACCUUUCAUAGGAUUCAAUGUCUACUAAAAAAGGGCUAAAAAAUAAAGGACUGGGGUAUGUAUUCUACUUACAGAGAUGGAGGCCCGUUGAAGAAUUAGAACAAGUUCUUCAGGGGUAAGGAAGCUUGACCACUCAUGUGUGCCCUUGGGUAGCUGUCAAACAGAAGAAUCAUUUAACCUCUCAUACGAUUCACAAAGUAGUACAAAAAACCACACCAGAUGAUGUUGUGUGAAAAAUCAGCCUGUUAAGCAAGGCAGCUAUCUAAGGCAGACUAAUCAAACGCUAUCUCGGGAUAAAAACCAUGCAGUGAGAUGGUUAUCAUAAUGUGUCUCCAAAUUGGUUGAAUAAAUAAGAGAUAUCUGAAUCGGCCAUGGUUGACCCAGGUACACAGUACAAGAUAAUCAACACGAGUCAUAGAAAUUGAAGCUUUUCCUGUAACAGUACAGAAUUGUAAAAUUGUCUUGAUGAGCAGAACAAAUGACAAGCAAGUUUAUCAGGAAUCAAAAUAGUAAACAUGAAUAAAAGAGUGUGUUAAUUCUCUCAACUUUUAUCCAUUUUUACAGACGGUCCACUUUUAUUCUAAAGGACGUCAACAAAUAUCAAAGAAUUGUUUCAUAUUAAUGUUAAAGGAAAAAGUCAAUUUCUUUGAAGGAAAUUGGCGAAAAGAACGUGAAAAUUAUGACCAAAAAAGCUCCACUAACGUUAAGCCAAUAGACAAACAUGGUGUGGAUUAGAUAGGCUUACCCAAUGUAAGAGAUACUCGGCAACAACAAUGGCAGUUGCAUAUGCUCUCAUGGAACGAUUUAUUGUUGAAAUCACAUUAGCUCCGCCAGAAACAGUCAGUGCUGACAAUGACUUGCAGAAUUCAGCAGGUUCUGCUACAUGCUCGAUAACCUAGAUGAAAAACAGCAGCUAAGACAUAGUUCUUCCAUUACAAAUAGCAAGAAAAAAAAAUGAUCAUUAAAUGCUACUACAUUACUUGCUAAAUGAGAUGAUAAAACACAAAAUCUAGCAUAGUAGGAAGAACAAGAAAGCAGUUAAUAACCAGAUACAAGUGUCAGGUUCAGUUUAGAACGUAGCAGACAAUGCAUGGCCACCGUUUAGUCAAUUUCACAGUAGGAUAAGUUGCAUAAUUGUUACCAUAAACUUACCUCUAAAGCCAAUACAGCAUCAAAUUUCCUCUGCUCUUCCACCAACUUUUCUGUUCAUGAAAUUGCGAGUGCAUCAGCAGGAUGAAGGACAAAUAACAGUCAAAGGGCUUGAUAUGACUAAAUUGAAAAAGAUCAAAAAUAUCGUGCUCCAUAAAUGUCACAAAUAAGGAUGCAUGGAAAGUCAUUCCAUCUAAAAAUGUACCAAAAGAAAUAGUUUCAAAGAACCUUCUUGCAUAGAGGUUUGAAACAUUAAACUUCACCAUCAGAGCUUUGCUAAAUCUGCUUCUAUCUCUUUCAGAAAAAUCUUUUAGAAACUAAUCUUUACUCACUAGGCACCAACUACACGAAAGAUUUAUGGUAAAACUAAAAUACUGAAGCAUUGGAAACUAGAAUAUGUUGUUUGAGCACUAUACGCUGCCAGGCUCAGACAAGUUAGCGUAGCUCCACAACCAUAUACAUCAUUAAGACUGCCACAUACCUAAACUGACUCUUAGAAUCUUUUUCUAUUGGAUAUAAUCUCUAUUCAAAAUACCAUCAGCCAAGGUAAACAAGCAUAAACUAAGCAUAUAAAAAGGUUGGCUUGGACAUUAAAAACUAUAAAUAAUCGAUGAAUAACGACCUUCAUAUUUCAAAAACAAGUAUGGCAUGUACCAGCUGUUGUGCAAAGAUACUCAAUCGAUGAAGUCCCUGGAUCCAAAUCCUGGAAAAGUUACAUGUUCAAUAUAGCCCUAUUAAAUGCUGAAAGCUGUAGAAAAACUUUCUUUUGCCACUCUUGCAGGGGAAAAAAAAAACAGAAAAAAACAACAGGCAAAAACAAUUGAUUGGAGUUUUAGUACAAUAAGGUCCACAUUGGGUAAUCAUAAAUUUGUAAAUAUGGACGACAUAGAUAUAUAUAUAUAUAUAUACACACACACAAAUGUAAUGGACAUCAACUUUCAUAUCCAUCCUACAAGAAAACAUACUGCAUGAAGUUGAGCAAUAUUGAUAUUCUUCUCCACAGCGAGGUCUGGUACCUCAAAAUUGAUAUAGACAAUGCAGAAAAUACAAAGUAUUUCACACUUGCCAGCUUCACGCAUCAAAUGAAUUCAUCUACAUUCAAAAAGUAUCGGAAAUCAAAAGGAAGAAAAUAUGUCCAACAACUUCUUCACCAUUUAAAUGAAGCAUUGCAUCAGUGAAUAUACGAAAUAAAAUAGAAAAUCUGUAUAAAAUUGGACAGCGGCAAAUGGGUCCAAGAUAAAGCUGUAGCAAUGCCACCCUCCCUGGCUUUUGGACCUCGUCUUGCAGAUUUCCAGCAAGAUGUGUAGCGCAAAUGCGAGCUUCAACUCGGACCUCUUGGGCAUAGCCAAAUCAAUCCAAAAUCCCUCUAGUUCAGCUGUAGUACAAUGGGAUUGGCUUUUGCAAGGAUUACGCUGGCGAAGUGUCAUCAGUUUUUGGUUCAUCUGCCUGUUCCCAAUUUUUACCGGCGGCAGUGAAGGGUGUUGAAUAUGUUGGUUGUUGGGUCUGCGAAAGAACGACAGAGGUGGUUUAUUUAUGCGAGGUCUUCCAGCUCAUUUUUUCGUAAUAACUUUAGAAUUUAUCCUCAAGAAAGCCUACGACUUUAAUUUACGGUCAUGGGUACGAAAUUUUUUGUCAAGACUUCCAUAUCUGUCAUGCAGUACUACCAAUCAGAAACAAAAUGGGUGGACACCUAGCAAUGUGGAUAUAAUGGAGGACUAGACCACGUAAUUUUAACUACGAGCACUGGAACGGUUGAACCCAUAUCUUGUCAAAACUAGGAAAGUAAGGCGAUUCUCUUCCAUUAGUCUUCUACUUCUUCAUGAUUAGUUUCUUGAUUAGAGCUUACGACUGAUCUGCAUCCGCUUAAUCUCCAAGUGGGAUUCUGUGAUUUUCUCGUAUGAAUGCUUUUAGUUGAGUUAUCAUACAGUUGAGCUUGAGCAUACUCUUGACAAUUUCUGAAAUGUUACUGAAGAAAUCAGGUGAUUAGUUUUUGUUGUUUAUGCUGGUUCUUGAUGGUCCAUGUUUCUCCAUGAUACAUCUACAGGUACAAAUUUCUUAUAGAUUUGCAGAGGGAAUGUGAAGAUGAACAGCAUUACUCAUUUUAGCCCUCCACAUGAGCUUAAGCGAGAGGAAAUGGUUAUACGGAGUUACGAGAAAUGUAAACUGUGUCAGCAAGAGGUUCUUCCAGGAGUGGUAUAUAGGUGUGAGAGACCUAAAUACUUCGUUCAUGGAAGCUGUGCUGAACUUCCAUGGCAUCUGAGGCAUCCCUUUCAUCCUGAUCACACUCUUACUCAAUUUGACAUCGCACCUGACUCCAAAAGUUGCAGUGUUUGUGGUGACCAUUUUGGGGGCUGCGCUUACCGGUGCUCUGAAUGUGAAUUCGUAUUGAAUCUUUCUUGUGCUGCCUUGACACCUUCCAGGAUUAGGGGUCCAGAACUUAAGAUUAAUCAUCAGCAUCCCGUUACUGCUUUUGACAAACCAAAAGACCACAAGUAUUCCUGCUUUAUUUGUGGCGAACCUUUUGGAUAUUAUCAAGCUAUCUACUUUUGUUCGGAAUACAAACGUUUGAUGCAUGAAUCAUGCUUCACAAUUCCACAAACACAAAUCGAGCGUCCCUUUCACCGCUGUAAACGCUCAACCACCUUGACCUUUCUGCUUCGUACUCUUCCGGACAGGCUCUGCAAUCUUUGCGGUCAAUGGCCAAGUCCGCGUUUUUUUAUUCCAAUGUUCCUCGUGCGACUACUGUGAAGACCUUGAUUGUGCCAAGUUGGUGCCAACAAUCAUGGACUCCGACAGACCUGAUCAUGGAUACAUUGAAGUUCAACCUACAAGCCACGACCAUCGUUUGAUUCAAUGUAACAGUAUAAAGAAUUUCAAACGUAACUGCUCUGGUUGUGGACUACCAUUCGAUGAUUCCAUUUACGUUUGCCUUCAUUGCCGUGCAUUGCUACAUGAAUCGUGUGCUAACAUGCCCGAGAAGGUCAUACACUCUUUUCACCCUCAACCUCAACAUUGCCUUACCCUUUUUGAUCGUAGUUCGAGUCUCCUUUAUGCUUCCGUUUUCUGUAGUGCAUGUGGUGUCCCUAAAAACCUCAUUUACAUGUGUCAGAAGUGUAAUUUUAGCUUGGACAUUAAAUGUGCUACUGCAAAGCACCCCUUAAUUAGGUCUAAAAUUCAUCAGGAUGAUCUUGCUUACUUCAACAACACAUCAGACAACUGAGACAUGAGCAAGAGCUGUUGGCGACUAAAGUUGCCUAAAUUCAGAUCAAUCAAAUGAUUUAUAAAUGUUCUAAGGCCACAGUUCCACCAAUAUUAAUGUUGUAUGUUGUUUUUUAAAUAUAACAAUCCAUUAUCUUAGCCCCUGAGUCGGAAGCCUCUGCAUUUGAUCAUAGUCUAAUUACCCAUGCUGAAACUGCAACCACAGCUAGAAACCCACACAGGAUAGCAGAUGCAAACAAAAAAGAUGGGAGUGUAUGCCUCUUAUUUGUAGCUGCUCACCUACUACUUGAGAUACAUAUGGUGCUGUAGGAACUAUUUAUAAAAAUAUAUAAAAGAAUUAUUCAAAAAAAUAAAUGCCAUGACUAGAGCCAAAGGAGAGGAGACAUAACAAGAGACAACCUUGAAUGAGUAAAUUUUUGGGUUUACCAGUAAUAGUUCACGUGCUUUGCACAUUAUUGUAAUAUUUUAAAAUAUAUUAUUCUUUAGAUACUAAAAUUUUUUUAUGAAAUUUUGAUCACCAACAUCAUAAUAAUAGUAUUUUUAUAUUAUUUAUUUUUUAAAGCUAGUUACUUUUAAAAAUUUUAUUAAAUGAAAAGAGACAGAAAACAUUACAAUGUAGUUGACAUAUCCCUUAGGAUUAAAUUUGAAAUUAUGAUCCAAACACUUUUUGAUUUAUAGCUUGAACUCUAACAUAUCAAAUAUUGAUAAUAUCAUGUUUUACCAAAAUUAUUGUAUAUUCAUGAUUCUAUUGCAUAUAAACCACAAUCAUCACAAUUUUUUAUAAAUGAAGAAUAUAAUUAAGUUAGAAAAUUAAACAUACAUGUAAUUUGAAUUCUUUGUAUCAUGUUAAUUCUAUUUUUGUCAAUAAUGGAGUCUAAAUGAUCUACCACGUAAAGUUUUUUUGGUUUGUACAUUCUAAGAAUUGAAAUUUUAUAGAUAGAGAUAGUUGAAGUUUUUUCUAUUUUGCUUUUCUUUUAUUCAUGUUUUUAGCACAAUCCAAUGCGAAACAAAAGCAACAAGUCUACUUUUUUCAUAUAAGCACAAUAUUUUUGGUUUUACUAUUAGUUGUUUCGAUGAUCAUGGAAUUGGAAUGAGAAUUGUGGCCAAUUAAUAAUUUUAAUAUUAAUUUUUUGGUAUUUUAUUUUUUAAUUGCCAACUUUUAAUCCAUAACCGCUAUCAUUAUUAUCAAUUAUUGGAAUGCACUAAAUAUGUCUAAUUACAAUUGUCACUAUAAAUGAAAUUUACUUAAUUUUAAAGCUUUUCAUUUCAUAACCGCUUCCAUUAUUCACUAAUGUUGCAAUACAAUAAAUAUAUGUAAUCGUUAGGAAAAAAAAGGGUAGUUUGGACAUCACUAAAAACAAUUUGGAUAUCAUUUUCAUUUUAUCAUUCUUCAUUUUAAAUUUACCCUUAUUAUAAUUCUUAUUUUAUCAUUAGAGAUGACUUCUGACUUGAUGGAUGGACUUGGUUUGCUCAAACCAAUAUUGUUUGUAUUCCCCGAGAUCGGAGUCAUUUUGAUGUUGUCUUUGAUAUUAUUUGAAUUGUAUUCUAGUUUUUUAAUUCAUUUGCUAUUUACUUUAUGUCAUUUUAUAAAUAGUUUACAAAUUUUUUUAAUUUUUUUUUGUUUUGAUCAGUUGCUAUUAAUGAUGAUAGUGGUUUGUAUGGUUCUAUUUUAGAUUUUUUUUUUUUCCAAUUUAAUACUGCUAUUUCAAUUAUAAAGGUGUCAUCAAUUUUUGUAUAUUGAAAUUCCAUUGGAUGCAACAUAAAAAAUUCUUCAUAUUGGAAAAAAAUGCAUAAUUGUAAAAUUUACUCGUGAUAUUUUUGUAUACAGAUGAAUAAAGAUUCUCUUGUCCUUAUAUGUUUUUUCAUUUUCUAGAGAGUAUCUAUUUUUUGAAAUUGAUUUUUCUUCUUACAAUGACAACUAAUGACUCAUGAGAAAAUUUUCCUGCUUCAAUUAAGAAAUUUUGAUAUGUAUAAUAAUUGAAAAUGGAGUCCAAGAGUAGAUAAAUAGCUUUUAAUAAGCAAUUUUUAAUUCUAAUUACCAAUACUAUUAAAAUGUAAUCAAUUGGAGUGUUUUAUUUCUUUUAAUUAGUGCCAUAUUAAAAUGCAAUAAUUCUAAUUAAAAAACAUGAGGUAAUUUAGGGAUAACAAAAACUGAGAUAAAAAAGUGCUUACACUUGUACUCCCUAAAACCAACAUUCAUACUUUUUAUAUAGUUGUGAUAAUGAUAAUGAUAAUGAUAAUGAUGAUAUGAAACUUGGAUGCCAAAUAGACAAUGACGUGGAAACAGGUCUACUUAGCCUUUGUACCUGUGAUAAAAAUUUCAUAUACAACACCCUUAAAUUACUGCAAAAUGCAAAUACGAGAGCUAGCAUCUACAUCUUAAGCAAUCAGUUAAUUCAGCUGCUAUAUCAGACAAUGAAUCCUCUAAAAUUAUAUAGAUGCUUUCUGCAGCAACUUUUCCUAGCACUGUGGACGAGAAUUAGUGGACCAUCUCAAGUCUUCAAUGAAUAACUCUGAACAUACACAUUGCAAACAGGUUAAAGUAUCAACUUGACGGAAUUUGCCUGCAAAAAUAGCGGGUAUUCUAGUAGGAAGAACGCUUGAAGAACAUCCAUCAUGGUCUUGUAACCUACAGCAACUCCAAAAGCCCUGAAAAAAUUCUUUCUACAUUUUCAAAUUGCAAUGCCAGAUGGUGAUUAGCACUCAAAAGUCAUCGCCCACUAGUGGAGGGACAAAACUGUAACCUUGAAGCGUCUGCUCAAAAAUGUGGCCUAUUUUAAGUAAACUUUCCUGCAAUAAAAUGCAAAACUGUUUAUGUAACUUAUGCUUGCCUUGAAAAACCAGUAACUACAAAAAAGAUCACCCAGAGUACCAUGAACAGAUAAGACAGAGCAAAUCGCAUAGCAGAUAGUUACGGUACUCAAAUAUAGAUCCUUAUAUACAAAAAAAAUCCAACACCAACCUCAUCAAAUGCUGCUCCAAUCAUUUGCAAACCAACAGGAAGAACAGAUGAUCCUUCUUCAACAAAUCCACAGGGUAAAACCAAUGCAGGUAAACCAGCCAAGUUGACAUUGACCUGCAUCAUACGUAAUGUUAUAAAUGGAAGAAGAAAAUCUAAAAACAGUUACUAGUUCUCUGUCCAGUAUUUCAAUCUGGGAUUGCUAAUUCAUGUAUGAUGAGGACAAAUACAACAGGAGUACAGGAUCCAUGUCAUUGCAAGUUAUAUAACUAACGAAUGCCAAAAAUUUAGAAGUGCAACCUUCUAAAUACUUACAAAUCACUUCCAUAAUGAACAAAUAAAAUGGCGAAAACAGGCAAUGGGAAACAUCAAACUAUAACAAAUUUACUUAAUAAGAUACCUCCACUCAAACAUGGAAUCAUAUAAUAAGCUUUGUGCAAGAGCAAGCACUUUUAAGGUACAACCAUCAUAAUCUACUCACUCCCACUAAUAGCUUUGCUCAACUAGUGUGACCUUCAUCUUCUUGUAGUCAAUGAUGGAGCCAAGGGGGGGCAGAGGGGGGCCAUGGCCCCCCCUAAGUUUUGAAAAAUUUAAUUCAUAAUAUGUAAAUAUAUGUAUAAGUCAAAGUUGGCCCCCCCUAAUUUUUUACAAUUUUAGUUUAUAUAAUGAGAGUUUAUAUAUAUAUAUAUGUAUAUAUAUCUCUUGUGUGUGUGAAUUAGCCACCUUUUGAUUUAAUUUUUUCUUCAAAAAAAAGUUAUUUAUUUUUUAUUGUACUAAUUAUUUAACAUUCAAAAAAUUAUAUAAUUUGAUGAUCCAUAGUAAAUUGACCCAAUUUGAUGUAUUAUAAUAAAAGACUUAAUUCAUAAUUAUCAAUGGGCUACAAUAAAAAUAAUUACUUUAUUGGUCCAUAUACAAAUAUACACCUUAGCCUAAUUGAUAAAAAAAUUUAAAAUUAGUGAUCUAUCCUCUUGUUGACUCAUAUACAAAUAAUUACUUGAAGGCUUGGUGAAGACAAGAAAUUGAGUGAUAUAUCCUGUUAUUGGCAGAUUGAUGAUAUUUGUUCUCACUCUUUCUGUAUCAAUUGCAACUAUAGAAUGUACAUUUUCAAUUGUGAAUAUAAUCAAAACAAAACUCUAAAACAAGAUAAAAGAUAAUUUCUUGAAUGAUUGUCUAACAAUGUAUAUAAAAAAAAGGAUAAUCAAAAUUUAACACUGAUUCAAUUAUAGAUGAAUUUAGUUCUAUGAAAGAACGUAAAACUCAAUUUACUUUUAAAAAAAGAGGUUGAAAUUUCAAGGUAUGCUAACAUAACUUUUAUCUUUUAUUAAUUGAAAAUAGUUAUAUUAUAUUGUAUAGUUAUAUUUUUAUUUUUGCACAAAUGACAUAUUGAAGCAUCUUCUCAUAAUGUACAAUUUGGGUAGUUUGUUAUGUUAUAAGAUAUUUAAUCAAAGGUUAUUUUUUGUCCUAAUUUUUGUUAUGACUAUGUUGCAUAUUUAUGUAAUAGACAUACCUUUAUAAUUAAAAUUAAAAUUUGAUAGUUUAAGAUAUCAUAUAUUUAAAUAGAUGAAAAUUAUUUUGAACAUAACAUAUUAAGAUAAUUUUGUUAAGAAAAAUUUUGGCCCCCCUCCCAAGGAAAAAAUCCUGGAUCCGUUUUAUAGUCUAUAGAAUGGACAUUUUCAAUUAUGAAAAUAAUCAAAAUAAAGCUCCAAAACAAGAUAAAAGAUCAUUUCUUGAAUGAUUGCCUAACAAUGUACAUAAAAAAAGGAAGUUGUUCGAAAAUUUAGCAUUGAUUCAAUUAGAGAUGAAUUUAGUUCUAUGAAAGAACGUAAAACUCAAUUUAUUUUUAAUCAAAGAGGAUGAAAUUUCAAGGUAUAUUAACAUAACUUUUAUCUUUUUUUAAUUGAAAAUAAUUAUAUUUAUAUUACAUAGUCAUAUUUUUGUUUUUGCACAAGUAACAUAUUGGAACAUCUUCUCAUAAUGUGCAACUUAAGUGGUUUGUGAUGUUAUAAGAUAUUUAAUCAAAUGUUAUUUCUUAUCUUAAUUUUAGUUAUGACUAUGCUACAUAUUUAUGAAAUAGACAUACCUUUAUAAUUAAAAUUAAAAUUUGAUAUUUUAAGAUGUCAUAUAUUUAAAUAAAUAAAAAUUAGUUUGAACAUAACAUAUUAAGAUAAUUUUGUUCGAAAAAAUUUUGGCCCCCCCAAGGAAAAAAUCCUGGCUCCGUCACUGCUUGUAGUAGUAAUAUAUUUCCACACCAAGGUAAGUCAUAUGUUGCACAAUUUUGAUCCAUUGCCAGCUUUCAAAUUUCUCCAAGUUACAUACUUCUGGGAUUUUAUCUCAUGAUCAAUUUGCUUUCAUGUCCUUAAAAUGCAUAUUUCUCACCCCAAGCUACAAUAGAGCUGGACUCAUUUAAGGUAUUUAGAGAAGACAUGGAUGCAAAUGCACUAGCUUUAGGAACUGAAAAUAAUCACAAAAUAAUCCAGAUUAGGUAUGUCUAUAACCCCAAUCUCUUACAGAAUUUCUACAGUGAAUACUUACAGUCAUGAUGUCACCUGCAUACAUGGCCAACGGGUCAUUUUUCUUCUCACCUGUGCAUAGCAAAUUAAUGUAUAUAAUCAGCUGCCUUAAAAAGAAAAAGAAUAUAGUUUUACAUCAAAGAUAAAUAGAAUCAAUUGAAAGAACAGCAAAAAGUGAGUGAAAAUCCAUGUAUCAUACCAAUCUUAUAAGCAACAGAUGGUGCUGCAGGUGAGAUCAGAACGUCAUUUUCUUCCAAAGCUGCUCUGAAGCUCUUCUGAACUAAAGUCCUAACCUAAGAGAUGGUCAUAAUCAUUCUAGUAAAUGUGCUGCAUAAGAAAACCAACCCAACACAUUGCGACACUCAGCAUAUUAUAGCUCCUUGAAAAACAUCAAGCCUCCUGACAAUAUAUUUUGACCUACAGGCUUUACCAACAAAGGCCACAAUAUGAGUAAAUUACUUUUUUAAUCUUUUAAUGUUUGGUUUUAUUUAUUCAAUUUUUUUGGGCCACAAUGUAUUUUAUUGUUUUAUUUAUUCAAUGUUAUAGGGGUGUGUGUGCACAGACAUACACAAGCAUGAGUUCGAAAUUAUAUCACGCAUUAAGGAAAAGACUGGAGAAAGAUUGUGGAGGAGGUAGAGGUCAAUAGGAUUUUUAAAGACUCCAGCUUCAAGGCAAGAUCACAAUCUGAAUGCAACUCCGUAUCAAUAGACAUACAUUCAAUUAUAUUUGACAAAAAAAGGCACAUUCAUUACUUUACCUGCUGGGCACGCUUGUAAUAUGCAUCAUAAUAUCCAGCUGAAAGUGCAUAUGUCCCCAUUAGAAUUCUAAGUUUAACCUGAGAACAAGAAAUCAGAUGUUAGCCUUAGCCAGGCACCACAACUAAAGCAGAUGUCAGUACUAUUUCCUUAAAUGCUACAGGAUAACUCAUGCUAUGACAACAGAUACAAGUUUUGCUCAUUUUGGAGGGGUGGAUUGCAGAACUAUGGUACUAGGACUAUUCUCUUUGCCCUGCUGUACUGUACUCAUGUUGGACAAUCAUUUUGCACUAGAGUACCCGUGUCCUUGAGACUCCCAUACCCAACUCCAAGUAACAUGGCUGCAUAAUAUCUUUCAGUAGAAUAGAUGAUGCAUACCUCAGAACCAAAUCCUUCAGCACGAGAAUCCCCAUACAAGGUACUUAGCUCAUCAGCAAAGACCUGAUUUCCAAACCUGAAAAGGUAAGACAUUUAAAUUAGACAAGACAACUAAAUUGCCACUACUACUUGCUCAGUGGUCCUAACAUCUCUUCCCAAUCGUUAAGAACCCAAACCAAAUAGUGCAAGAGAAAUCUGAAAAAUAAACAAAACUCCAAGUUUUACCUAACUCCAUCAUAGCGGGCUAAGUUUGAGGAUGAUUCGGAUGAAGCAAGAAUGUAGUAUGCUGGCAAACCAAGGGAGAAAGAUGGGAAUGAGACCUGCGAGUUGUAAAUAUCAGAUGCUAUACUUUUGUUGAUUCACACACGAAACUGAAGACAGGUGAACAUUCUACUCAAUUUAAAACAUAAUAAUAAUAAUAAAAAGAAGAUCACCUCAGAUAUGGUACAUCCCAAAUCCUCCAAGUGAGAAACAGAACGUUGGAGUGACGAAAUUACAUCUGGAUCAACUCCAUCCACAAGGGUUUCACGGAUGACACCUACUCUAAGUCCUUUCAAAGGUUUAGAAUCCAAAUAAUCCUUGGGAAUAAACUGGGAUGCAAAGUUAGGAAUUCCCUGAAAAGAAACAUUCCCAUCAAUGUAGCAAUAUCAUUUUGAUACUAGUCAGAUAAAAUAUGUACACUUGACACUAAAAGCGACAUUUACAGAAAAGCAGGCAGCACCAACAUGCUGCUCUUAAGCAGUGUCUUCCACAAAUACAGUUAAUAGACAUUCACUACAAACUUAAGUUGAUUCAACUUCCUCUUAAUAUAUGUUUUUUCUGGCUUCAAAUAGAGUAUAAGACACAUGCCCUUACGUAGUACAGGUAGAGGAUUUGAUAGUUGGUAUGGUACAUAUUUGAAGUUAGGUAUGUAAUACCUACGAUGAUAUUAAGUUCCACAAAGAAAUUUAUUCACAACAAGGAAAAGAAACUCACUUGUUUACUACUAGUGGCAUCAAAUUUAUCAUGACCUGAAACUGCCUGAAGGACUAUCCCUGUAUCAGCAACUGAUGAACCCAAGCAUCCAAUGACAUCUAGAGAUGAUGCAUAAGCAACAAGGCCAUAUCUUGAGACACGACCAUAUGUUGGUUUGAGUCCAACAACACCACAAAAUGAUGCUGGUUGCCUAACACUUCCACCAGUAUCAGUUCCCAAUGACACAGCACACUGUUGAGCAGAAACAGCUGCUGCAGAGCCCCCAGAUGAUCCUCCUGGUACCCGAGAUAAAUCCCAAGGAUUAGCUGUCACCUAUUGAAGAUGAAGAUGCAUCACCUGAGCAAACCAUUUCAAAUUACAAGUCGCAGGUUUUAGAACCAACUCAUGUUCACAGCUGAGAAACUCAAGUUUACAUGAGAAAUAGGGUGGGUUACUAAUGAGAUUGUCAAAGAGAACGUGCAGCAAUUCCAGUCAUCCUACUGCUAUUUAAACUACCCAGGGAGAAACAGCAAUUAUUUGUGAUACCAAAUUUGCAUUGACAAUACCAAGUGGAAAAGAGGCUUUUCUUUUCUACCGCAACACAUACUUUAAUUCAUUUAAAUGCGAAAAAGUAAAAACAAGCAUUUUUAACUCCUCUCAGAUUCAAAUUACUAGUUUCAAACUUCAAACUUAGCACCAGCAUCCAAGUCCAAGUUAAACCAAGUAUAUGUGGAGUAACAGAGUGAGUAUCCAGACUACGCAUAAUACACUACAUUUCAAAACCCAAAUCCAACCAUCCAUUUUCAGACCAUUCAAAUAUUCAAGAAAGCUCUUCAUUUCGCACAGAUAACACGUCCUAAAAUACUUUAAUGAGUUCCCCCCAUUUUAUGGCGUUAAUGAGUCACACUGUCUUAAGCAUUAUUUACCUUAAUUUCACAACUUGACUAACCUUGACCUAGUCUCCAAUGCAGCGCUCACUCAAAACCACUGAACAUACAAGCUUAAAUCACACUCAAGUCCAUAGAAGCCAUUUGUUUUCCAUACCAUAUCUGAUCAGACGUACAAGUGAGCUAUCAGAUAUCUACAAAAUUUAAAUUAAAAAAAUUCCGGCUACAAACACCCAAUGUAAUUACCUAAAAACUCAAACUUGUCUGUUUGUAGAGAGCAAAAAUCCCAACUUUGAUCUCAUUUCUAAAUAAAACUGCAUUUACACAAAAUCUUAGAAAAAUGAGUAACUAAAGAAAAAUGAUAAAGGUAAAACUUCUCGCCUGAUAACCAGAGGCUUCAGUAGUACUGCCCAUACCAAACUCAUCCAAAUUAGUCUUGCCAACAAUGAUAGCGCCAUUUUCCCUCAACUUUUUAACCGCCGUAGCAUCAUAUGGCGGAGUAUAAUUCUCCAAAAUCUUGGACCCGGCAGUGGAAGGCAUAUCUGAAGUGCAAAUAUUAUCUUUUACCCCAGCAAGAACUCCAGCAAGAGGGCCCAAUUCCUCAUUGUUCUGAAUUCUCCUGUCAAUUUCUUCGGCCUGUUUCAAAACGCCAUCUUCCGGGGAUACGUACAGGAAGCUCUUGAGUUGGGGUUCGGUGCGGCGGAGGCGGCUGAGGAAAGUCUUGGCUAUUUCCACCGCUGUGGUCUCCCGGGAGAGAAGGGAUUUACGGAUUCUGAGAAUUUGGGAAGUGGGUUGGGGGGAGGAGGGUGUGGGGACAGGGGUGGUGGAGGUUUGGAGGCACCUGAGGGGGAUUUGAUGGAGGGUUGAGAGGCGGAGAAGCCUCGGAUUUUGGAUUGAAGACAGCAUUAUUGUUAGCUCGUUUCUGAGGAGGGAAAGAGGAGGAAAGGCAGAGGAUUUAUGGGUUUAUGGCAGCUGUGGGUUUUUGCUGAAUUAUCCUCUUAAGAGGGAUGGCUAAAGCCCAGUCUCUUAAAGACGUGAUCGUGUGAGUGAAUUAAAGACCUCUGCCAAGUUAAAGGCGCAAAGUGAAUGCGAAGCGUCUAACGUGCCUUGCUAAAUUAAGAACGUAUUUCAUUUCUUCAAAUUGCUGUUCAUUUUGUUAUCCUCAAAAGAAGGGAAAAAAAACGUAAUAACCUUUGUCAUUUAAGAUAUACAAAUAGAAAUGUGGUUCCUUAACCCUUCUGUUUUUCUUCAUAGUUCUACACUGGUACAUUGAUAUUUCAAUGAUGACUCCAUUUUCUCGUAGCAAUGAUGUUUUCUGCCUUUAUUUUUGUAUUAAUAUAUGUAUUCAAGCAUUUUGUACAGUUUGUUAUUUGCUUUCUUUACUCUUUAUCUUGUUUCAUCCAGUAAAGGUUCAGGAUUGCAGGCUCAUAGCACAAAUCCGGUACAUUAUCCUGUUCAAAUAGUCAAAUACCAACUCUUUCUUUGUUCAUGGCAACACUUCUGGUGCAGUUCUCAACAUGAGAAUGCUCUAAUCACCUGAAAAAGGCCCAUUCCAAUUUUUUUUUUUUUGGUGCAUGUUAUUUUGCAUUUGAUGAUAUGCAGAAACAGAUUCUAUACUAGUACUCUCCUGAAUGUUGUCUUUCUUUUGCAAUUAGCUGGGCACGUCUCCCCUCAAGUUGCUCCAAUUCUGCUUCCUGUGCUUCAAUUUUGUUCCUGACUGCUGCAAUUUGCUCGUCUAGGCGUUGUAUAGCAGUAUUUACAUCCUCAUCACCGACUUCUUCAGUUCCAACUGCUGAAGAACCACCUCCUGAUGUAGCCUCAUCGCUGACUUCUUCAGUUCCAACAGCUGAAGAAUCACGUCCUAAGGUCACCUCAUCUUCUGAACCAUCUGUAUCUUCUUCAGUUGUCUCCAACUUGAUGUUCUUGUCUAUGGUAGUAGUCAAGUCUAGGGGCUCUUUCUUCAAAUAAGGCAGGAUCUGGUGCAUGGUAAAGCAUUGAAUUAGUACACAAGGCAUCUAAAAUCACCCAAAAAAUAUGUUGGGGGGGGGGGGUAAUGAUACUCUUUGAUUAAAUGGACUAAACAUAUGCAAACCUCUGAAAUCACGCAAUGAAUGUGAGCAACAAAAUGGCAUCCUGAACAGUAGUAAGUAGGAUGAUCUAGUACUCGUGCUUUUUCGCAAGCAUUGCAAUAAAAUUCAGCAAAAUCCUCUUCAUCUGGCAUGUCCUUAUUCGAGUAGUUGUAUAUAUAAGGGGAUCUAUGUGGCAAUCAUGUUUUAAGGAUUGUAGAGGUGAAGGAUGGCAGUAAUCAUGGAUGCUGAAGUCGCAUUCUAAACAGCGAAAGAAAUAUUUACUGCAAGAUGAAUCACAAAUGCUGCACUCGAGGUUAAAGAGUUCUAGUUCAAGGUCUACAUAUGCAAGAGGAUGCUGGUGAACUUCAGUUCUUAUGGGCGGAUGUUUCAACCAAGAACACUUGGUGUCUAAUCCAAAAUCACACUCUCUACAUUUAUAGAAAAAGAAUCCGGUUGUAAUACCACAAACUCGACAGGACGAACAUUCCGGGGAUGACUUGGAAUGAUUUUCGACAAGGAUGAGUGGGUGCUGAGGAUGAAAAGGAUGAGCCAUUUCAGGUGGCAAAUCAGCACAAGAUCGGUGGAAUGGUAAUCCGCAUUGAAGGCAAAAAUAAACAGAAUCCUGGAAAUGAAGCCCACAGCCAUGGCAGCGGGCUUGAUAGUUCGAUAUGCCACUAGCAUCACACUGAAUCAAGGGAUGUGAAGGGAUGUGGAUGGCUUACAAACUGAAUUUUAAUAAUUUCUUCAUCUGAAUCAAUUUUGUUGGUUGCUGGCUUCAAUUUAGAACAGUCAAGGUCCAAAACGAAGUCACACAAAGAACACUGAAAAACAAAUAAGAAACCUGUAGAAGCACAGACGCUGCAUUUGGCUGGAGAUACAGAGUUCACGGGCUGAAGUUUGAGAGGGUGAUCAGGAUGAAAAGGGUGCUUGAUUUCACGUCCCUGAGCAGCGCAAGAUUCAUCUAACAGACACUUACACUCCAGGCACGCAAAUAUAAGUUUAUCAUCGACAAUAAGCUCAUAGCAGCGGCUGCAAAAGUAGUAAAAAUCAUAAAAUUCAUUUGGCUUGUCACGUAAAAUUAAGGCAUGCUGAUGAUUUCCUUGAAGCUCUGCUACACGAUCUGCAUACUUCUUACUAGGCGUCAAGGCAGCACAUCCAAGGUCCAGAUCAAACUGACAAUUGGUCUCUUCGCAGUGGUAGAUAGCAUGCUUAAUCUUUUCGCUGCAAACACUGCAGUAGGUUUCAUUGUCAUAAGGCGAUUCGUCGAGAUAAGCAAGAGUAUGAUGAGGAUGAAAGGGGUGUAUAAUUUGUUGUUGAAAUUUUGCGCAAGCUCUGUGCAAAAAGAAACUACAUCUCUCACAGCCGUAGACAGUAGCAUCUAAAUCAAGUUGGCGCUGGCACAUAUGACAUUUUCUUCCUGGCUGGUUGAACUUUCUGAGGCUUAGUGGAUGUGGAUGCCGGAAAUGAUGAACAGGAUUUUCCAUCUCUCUUACAAUCAAUACUUCAAUGUUUCAAUGAUUUCACACUCAUACUAGUCCACAGUCUCAUAGACUAAAGGAAGGCAAAUUACCAAAAGCAUCCUAACUGGCCAGUGGCCCUUGUGUCCAACAACUUUUUGACUUGACAAGAAUCAUCUUUAUGCUUUCCUUGGUUGGGAUUGAUUCUGGACUUAGAGGAUUUUUUUUUCCUUUUUUGUUUUCCAUUCAUGAUACACUCCCGCAUGCAUUAGUUACAUAAUUUUCUCUUCACUCGCAGUUACAGCAAUAUUAAAAUGCGGCUCAAUCCCUUUGAAGAGAACUAAAGACCAAUUAAAACCAGGCUACAUCACAUAGUUUGGUGUGGAGGUACUUGAGCUAUUUGUGUAGGUAUGACUUAUGAGAGGGAAAAGAACGGUUCUUUAGGCAAGAAUUUCUUCCUAACAGCUUCAAGGAACAAAAUACGUCAAAAGGACUUCUUGGAUUAAACUUCAGGCAACUGAUCUAUUACUCUAUCAUUCCAUUCUUUGAUUCUUACGCUUCACAGUUGACACAAUAUAUCUGCUAGAAUAGAGGAAACACUCUAAAUCUGAAAUCCAACAUAGAACGGUGUAGUAAAAGUCCAUACCACUACAUAAUAGUGCAAACUACACGAAGCAAGCCUUCAAGUACCCUACAAAGGCAGGGAAGUGAAAGCUGCCUAAAACAGGCGCAGCUCCGCAUAAGCUACAUAAAACUACGCCUUCUGAAGUUUUAAAGAAGGCGUUAAAAGCAAGCUAUGAAGGAAAAACGUUUUCAAGAGUUUCAAGUAAAUGUUUUUGGGGUUUUGUGUUCACAAAUUCUUCCAUAAUCUCAACAAACUCAGGAAACACAUCACAUGUAAUGGCUAUUCUAACUUCAAUCUCAACUGAUUGCGCAUGGCAGUGCAGGUUUGCUAGACAGACUUGUACAAUUGAUCUUGUAUUUACAGUUGAUCUCGUUUUUCCAACAGGAACUUUCUUCUGGAGGUAGUUCGCUUUGAAAUAUGCUCAAAACGACUUUUUCUAAGUUCUCCCAUUUUUGCCAUUAGUGCUUGCACAUCCUUUUCGAGUCUCAUAAUUUCCUCGUCUAGUUGAUGCAGAACUGCAUCCUCAUCAGCUGAAUCACCUGUAGACCCCAAUUGUUCUCCAAUGAUAGUAAUGGCCAAGUGAUUAGGCUCCUUGUGCAGGUACGAUAUGAUCUGGUAACACAAAAUUGAUCCCAAACGCACAUAUUAAGUUUGAAGCAAUCCAAAAACACAGAAGGCUGUCAAAAUUCAAGUUAAUACCAAGAGUUGACUGUUGUCAUACUCGUACCACUGUUAUCACGCAAUGAACAUGAGCAACAAAGUGGCAUGAUGAACACAAAUAUGUGAUACGGUCGAAUGCUCGUCCUUCUUCACAGGCAUAGCAAUACAAUUCUGCUUCUUCCUCCGGAUCAUCUGGAACCCCCUUGAUUGGAUAAUUGGCAAAUGUGAGGGGAUGUAUGUGGCAAUCAUCUUUGAUGGUCGGUGGCAGCGAUGGAUAGCAGUGAUCGUGGAUGCUGAAGUUGCAAUCCAAGCGUAAACACCUGAAGUAAAAUUGUCUGCAAAUACAAAUACACAAAACACACUCAAAAUUAUGCGUUUGAAUGUCAAUGUAAGCAAGAGCGUGUUUGUGGUAUUUGGACAUUAUAAGUGGGAAUGCAGAUCUUGUACACUUAACAUCCAACCCAAAGUCACAUUCUUCGCAGUCGUAGAAAAAGUGGCCGGUAGAUUGUAAGCACACUCGACAAGAAAAUCUCUUGUGGAACCAGAAAGAGUUUUUGACAAGUUUGAGCAAGUGGUUCGGGUGCAAAUGGCUAGUGAUUUCGUUAGGCAAAUCAGCACAGGAUUUAUGGAGUAGGAUUCGGCAUGAAAGGCAAGCGUAAACAAGAUCCUCAAAGCGGAGGCCGCAGGCAAAGCAGCAGGAGCUGAAAUUCUUCAUGCUGAUCAUUACUUCCACUUGAAUCAAGGGAUGGGGGUGGGUUACAGGUUGGAUUUGAAUAUGCCCUUGGUCGGCUUUGCAGAUUGUGGUAGUCUCGCCCAAGUUGGCACAAUCAACAUCGAGGCAAAAAUCACAUGAAGAACAAGUGAAGAAAUAACCAUUCCUUCCACCGCCACCACAGAGGCUGCAGCAACGAGGUGGACGCAAAUAAUAGAGAACGAGAGAGAGAGUAUGUUGAGAGUGAAAGGGAUGCCUGAUUUCCUGCCCAUGAGCAGCACACGGCUCAUCUAACAUGCAUUUGCAUUCAAGACAAACGUAAAUCUUGUCAUCAUCUCCAAAUUCAGUGUCACAGCGAGUGCAAGAGUAAUGCAAAACAUUUGGCCUGUCGCAAACAAGUAGAGAAUGCCCGUGAGAAUUCUGCAGCGCCUCUACUCGAUGAUGAUCAUGAGAAGGUUUUAACAGAGCACACUUCAAAUGCAAACUAAAGGAGCAGUCAGCCUCUUCACAUCGGUACCAGCUUUUGAACGGAUAAGAUCCACGAGAGCUGCAAGCGUCGCACCCUCUCCCAAUAGCAAUAGGAUCAAUGUGAUGAUGAAGGCGAUGGGGAUGAAAGGGGUGUGAAAUAUCCAGCUGCAAUUCAGCAGAAUGUUCGUGUAAGAAGAAUGAACAACCUUGACAAGCAUAAACUCUGGCAAUUGGAUCAAGGAUUUCCGAGCACAUGCCACAUCGAUCAUUAUGUCUUGCUCGACAUUGGAUUGUUGAGAUGCUAAGUGGAUGUCGAUACGUGAAAUGAACAAUAGUGUCCAUAUUUUUCUCUUCUCUUGCACUCAUUGCAAUAUAUAUAUAUAUAUAUAUAUAUAUAUAUAUAUAUAUCAAAAAGCUGCUCCCUCACUGCCUUGCACUAGAACUAAGGACCAAUAAUAAACAGAGGCUGCUGCUGCAUCUAUAGCAGGGUGGGAUCUGAAUGGAGGUGCCCAGAUAAAGAAAGGCAUUCAAGUUUUCAUCAUUUGCAUCCUGGUGUGUGUAUCAUUUAAUUCUUGUUCUUUUGUAGUAUAAAGUGCACCAAAUCAAGGGUGAAGGAAAGAAGAGAGUGGUUCCCAAGGUGAGAAUAAUUCCUUGGUAACAGCCCCAAGGAACAAUAGUAUAAUACUAUGUGAAAACUAAAAAGGAGACCUGGAGACUAUAUAUACGUAUGUAGAUUAGCUUCAAGGAACUCUUCCAUGAUUCCAUUUUUACACUGUCUAAAGCGAGCAAACAGAGGAUGGAUAAUAUUACAAUCAAAAGAUCAUAAGUUUGGUAUUUUACGUGCCUCAUUUCUGAAAUUUAUGGUUCAAAACGCCACCGGAAGGAGGCUGAGCGUUCCACCACCGCACCGCGAGCAAGAAUCGGUGGAAACACGCUCGGACUCGGUGGAAUCGACCUGCGUCAACUCGGAGGAGACGGAAGAGGAGAUGAGAGGUAAACAAAUAGGAGACCUUUAUGUGAUCGAUUUGGGUCACGAACGUCUAGAAGUUACUAACACCCACACAUGUCAACCAUUUUUUAUCCCAAUUUAUUUGGUUUUAGCGAAGAAUUAUAAAAUUCUUGCUACAGUUUUCAUAUAUAAUUUUUUCCAUUUAUGCAGAGAGAUUUUAUAUAAUAAUCAGUUUUUUUAUAGAGUUAAUUUUUUUUAAUAGUAAUUCUAGUGCAUGAGCUAGAGAGAUGAGAUGGGUGAUUGUGUUUUUAUAAAAUAGUUAUCCCAAAAGACAUUUAUAUCGUAUUAAUUAUUAAAAAAUUUGAAGUUAAAUCAUUAAUAUUCUUUACGUGCCAUUGCACUUGUAAAAGGUUUGUAUGUUUACUUUGAUCAUUUUCUUUUUUUUACAUGUUUUUGUAUAUUUUUUUAAUAAAUUUUUAUGAAUUUUAGAAUAUUAAAUGUAUGAAAAAAUCAUCUCACCAAGAUCACAACAAUAUGACCGCAAUCGAUAUGAUAUGAAAAGAAUUAUAAAAUAAUGACAAAUACGACACCGUGACAGCGACCUGGAACCAUGGAUAUGGUGGACGAGUUACAAAAGUAAACACGGUCGAUUUCUAAGGGCAAAAGGGAGGCAUGUCUCAGACAAAAUAUCAUGGCAGAAUUUGGCGAUCACCUGGGGCAUCAAUGAUGAGGUAGUCCCGGAAUUUGGUCUCCUUCCCCGCUCUGGCCUCUAGAACUUGUCCACAAUGAGUCUACAAACAGGGAAUAACAUGAGUUUGGGAAAUUGAUGUUGGAUGGCAAUGUGCUUUUCAAAUGCAAGAACAAAAUCAUAAUGGCGGCUUCUGAAAAUUCCUUGGAUUCCAGAAAAGACAAUUGACGUUACCUGAACCAUCAACAUUAAGAGCUAUCCAACCAGAUUCAAACCUUACACUUGGUGGCACGAAGAUGGUUGCUAGAGUGGAGGUGACAUUCUAGUCGUGAAUUCUAUGAACGUAGAACCGUGUGGUAAAGUCCGUAACACUUAACUCGAGUUUGGAUGACUGGUAAGCGGGGGUUGCCAAUUAUCUAGAGAAUAGUUGGCCACCACGUAUCAUUGUAGAUUGGGAUAGGAGGUUAACAAUUCAAAUCUUACUUCUUGUCAAAAUUGCUACUUAAUGUCAAUUCUUUUAGAUUCAUAUGGGUGCUUCUUAUAUCGUAUGAUUCGAUAGUGGUUCACUUCCCAUCGAUUUCCCAUGAUCCUAUUGAGUCACUCUGUUAGUAUAGGUUAGAUUAUGAUUAGGUGUAGGUAUAGAUGUAGAUGGUGACAAUAGAUAAUAAAAAAUAAAAAAAAAGCUAAGUUGGAGUUGCUAAUGUUAACGAGAAGUUCAAGUUCGACCUCUACAUGUGACGCUUUGAAAAGUUUUAGCCAGACCUUCUUUCCUGAGUAAAAAUCGGACUCUAUGAGCACGUUUCAAAUCGAAUUCGAAAUGGUCUCACUGAGAGUGAAAAUACCGGAUGUUCAAAGAAAAAAAAAGUCCAUAAUACCUGUUCGAUUUUAAACGGCCCAAUUGAAACAGAUAUUGAGUACAGCGUAUGUCCGUUCUUAUGGUUAUUGCUGCUGCGCCUUUUAUAUUUGAAGCUCGGUGGAUGCAAGGGGGAGAUUCUAGAAAUUCUUCUUUGUUCUCUUGAAAAAUUAUACAUUUUCAUUUAUAUCCUUAUAGAAAUUAGACUUUACCCCCUCAAACUUCAGAAAUAUGUUUCUAAAACCCUUGAGAUGUUAAAAGCUUCACUUAUAUCCUUGUCAAUGCAAGACUUUGAACCCAUCCCCCCCUCCCCCCUCAACAAAUUAUUUCAUAAAAUUGUGUGGGUACCUCUUUGAUUGUACAUAUUUAGUGGUCUUGGCCCCCUCAAACUUCAACAUCUGGUUCCACUAGUGAAAAAGCUACCUAAAAUGCGAAACUUGCCCAAGCUAAAAAAUGAAAAAAAAAAAAAAAAAAAAAGCACUAAAGAAACAAGUUAUGGAGGGAAAAUUCAUCGUCUUCUUUUCUCUAAUUCACAAAUUCAUUGGAACCCAAGUUAACGAAUUAAUCUAGUAACAAAAUAUAGAGUGCAAUCUGUCGCCAAUAAUGGCACACCUGCAAGGUUUGCUAGUGCAAAGGAACUAUCAAUAAUAAUGUAACAGAAUAGUCCUUUGAAAAAAAAGAUAAAGUAUGAAUUAGUUUUUUUUUAUAUGAAUUAAUAAAUAUUAUUAUUGUAUUUGAUCACAGUUACUAGAAAAUUUUCAAGUCCACUUUGGGACAACCGCAUAUACAAAUUUGCAAGAUAAAAUAAAGAUAAUAACAGUAACUAUGUGGUUUGGAGAAGGUACAGUUAGCUAUAUGUGUGGUUGGUCCGAUUAUUAUAUAUUUUUUCCUAUUAUUUGUUACACACUCACAUAAUUUUUUGUUGUAUUUCAUGACAUAUUUACGUAAUUGCUCCGUUUGAAUUAACUGUUUUUUGGGGUAUUUUUGAAAAAUUUUAUUGUAGUAGAGUUUUAGAUUAUAUUUUAGGAUAUUUUCAGAAAAUAUUUUGAGAUAUUUAAGAGUAGAAGAGUUUUUAAAAUAUAUUUUGAGAUAUUUUUUAAAAUUUUUAAAAUUUAAAUUAAUUUUUAGAUUACCUUUUAGAGUACUUUUUAAAAUUUUUUAUUAUAUUUAAAAAAUUAAUUUUUGAAAAACACUGCCAUCCAAAGAGUUAUUUUUCAUGAUAUACAACAAAAGUGACGUGAUUGUAUAAUAAAUCAUGAAAAGAGUAUGACAAUUACACCUAAGGCCAACGUACCUGUCUCGCAACUUCCAAACUAUUGUAUGUACCAUUGGGCACCUGAAGAGUAGCCCGGUAUUAACAAGACGGUAUUGGCCCGAUUCUAGUGAAGUGAGAACUUGCAUAGCCCAAGAAUGAAAUCCAAUUCCUAAAAGGAAAGCAAAAAAAAUCCUGAUGUCACUAUCUAUUCCAAUAAUGGCAAGAAAGAUACAACUGGUUGACGAUAACAAGUAGUAGAUUUUUUUUUUUCCCAAAAAGCCUCCUGUAUAUUUAAUUUUUACUUUUUCCAUUCAUUAAUUUGCAGUUUCGAUCGCUAUUAUUUUUUCUAUGUACACAAAUAUAAAUUAUAGGCUGUUGGAAAAUCAAGCUCCGCUUGCUGACGUCGUCGCCUCGAUCAUUUUUAGGCUCCGAUCACCUUCCGGUGAGCUCUUUUAUCCAAAUCUACCUCUUUUACCUUAAUUUCCAUUUUUCUAAUUUUUAUGAUUAUUUGUUUAUUAAUUUUUUUUCUCUUAUUCUAAUUUGGGGUUUUCUCCUGUUUUUUCUUCUUUUUUUUUUUUUUGGUUAAUUGUGUUAUGUUACUUGGCGAUGAUGAUGAUUCAGUAAAGAUCGGAUUUUUUUAUUCUGAAUUGGAUAAAUUGGGCCUUUUUUUAAAAAAAAAAGUUUCCUAGUGCUGAUUGUACAGCCAAUCUAUGGUGUUAUUGAAUUAGAUACAUCCAAAUUUUAAUAGAUAAAUUCAAAAGAAUUAUUUCCUUUUCGUGACAAUUUUAGGUCCCAUUUUACCACGAGGGAGGAAAAAUUAAUGAAAAUAAAAUGGAGAUGUUAAAUUUAGAUAAAAACCAGAUAAGAGUGAUGUCUGAUGAUUCUCUUAGUGGAGGAUGUGUAUGGGAGAGAGGUAUUUUGGAGGGACAAGUAUAAGCCUGCUUAUUAGUGUGAGAUCAACGGAGUAUGUCUUGUUAAUGAUGUGAUGUUGAUCACUAGUUUGUUGUAAUGAAUAAGUUCCAUUUUGGGUUUUUGAUCGCGUGAAUUACUUUCAACCGAUUAGAGGGAUUGACAGUUUAUUAAAAAUCAUGAGUCGAGGGGUAAAUUCCUCCUUAAUAGCAUAUUGCUACUCUGGUUUGUAUUCUAGCUAAGUGGAUUAGCUGGCAGCCUUGUUUGGAUUGCCAUUUUUCCUCAAAAUAAGUUUUAUGUUUUCUGUGAACACAUUUUCCAAUCACCUUUUUACCUCACAUACAUGAAAUAGCUACAGUAUAUUUUUCUGCAAAAAUUCCAGACAAUGGUAAUCCAAACGGGUUAAAACCAUGGACGAAGGGUAGAAAGGUAUCAUUUUAUGAAAGUGGAAGAGUUCAAUUAUCUUUUUUUACUUUUGUUCCGGGGAAUAAAGGAAGGGGAACACGUAACUUAAAUUUGUAGUACUGGAGAAGGGCUUGAACCACCGCUUCCCCUUUACACCCUCCUCUAGUUCACCCCCUUCUACACUAACGUGCUCAGAUGUGGAUGGAUUUCCUUGCUUCUUGCUAUAGUUUGCUGCAAUAGCACUCUUAUUUAGCUGUAAGCAUCUUUUUUUUCAUGGUAUAUGCACACUUGAUAUCUUCUUAUACAACAAAUGGCUAAAGACGGGAUUUUACAUUUAUUUCUUUGAGGUUAUAGAGUACUAGAAGGCUUCAAUGUUGAUUAUUUUUUCUCGAUUAAUUCAUCAGGGGUGAGAAUAAAGAUCGGAGCUUAUAAAUAUACUUGGAAGACAAACAAUAAGAAUGCAGGGAAUACCUUCCUUGGUUGAUCUAUGUGUUCAGAUUGCAGUUCUCAAUGUUCGAUAUCUUGGAAAUGUUGGAGAAACAGAGUUCCAUCUACUGGAGCGUAUUUUACCGCAUUGCACCAUGGAUCAGUUGAUACACGUUGAGAAUUGUACAGAGGUAACUAUUUUAGAAAAUUUGCCCAAUUUAUUUCUUUCUUUGCAUAUGUACUUAUUAUGGACUGGCUGAUCUUUUUCCCUUUUGUUUCUGUUUGGUCGUUGCAGGGAAGAGAUCUUAGCCCAGUAACUAAUAAACUUUGGAAGAAAUUCUUUGAGCGGCAAUUUGGUGCUGAGAGUGCUGAGCUUGUGGUGGAAAGGAUGAAAAAAAGGAGGGUUGAAUUUAAAUGGAGAGAAUUGUAUAAGGUAAUAGAGUUUUCUUAAUUUCCUCUUGGUCUCUGCCUAGAAACUGAUAAAUAGCUUUGUCCAAAAAAAAGGUACCUGGCAAGGAUGUGGCUUUAUGUUGGUUACUACUCUUUUUUGUUUUUGGCAAUAAUGCUUAAGUUUCAGUAUGUACUCACCUAAGGUACAUUAAGAAUCUCACAAGAUAUAUAGUAUUUGUGGACUUCCCCUUUGUAGUUUAUCUACAUCACUACAUCUUUCCUUCUUAGUAUCUGAUUUCUUCUAAGUUGAGUAGUUCUUAUUUUCAUCAUUGAAGUCUCAAAGUCCAUGGCGUUUGAAUUUAAGCAAGCUUAUUUUGUGAUUGUUUUACUUGCAGGCGAAGUCACAGGAAUUAGAAGAGAAGGAAAAGAAAAUAUCAGAACGAUUGAAGCAGCGGUAUGCAAAUGAAGCAGCUGGUAUGUACUUUUUACUCUCUUUUCUUAUUCUUUUGGAUGGUGCAUGUGUUACAUCUUGUUUUCUUUAUUUAGACUCCUGGUUCAUGUGCUAAAUUUUGGUCAUCCUUUUGCAAAGUACCAUGAAUGGUGCAGAUAGAAACCAUUUAUCAUUAGGAAGCUUUGUUGAGUCAAGAAAAUGGAAUGCAGUUUUGCAGCAGUUUAGGUUGGAUUACACUAUCAGACCCUAGUUGUGGAUAGAAUUAGUGGCAAGCAGUUGCAUCAAGUGAUGACAUGGAUGGCAUCUAGCAAGUCAGCAGUGAGUGGGUGCAAAUCUAAAUUUGGAAUAAACAUGGUCUGAACCUUAAAAUUGGGUGUCUUUUAAUCAACUUAAACAGUUAAAAGUGCUUAAUCAUGAGGUGAAUUCAGUAGCUUAGCAUUGGAUAAAAGCUUCCUACACCCAGUCAUUGGUUUGGCUUCUUGUCUUCUUUCUUUUCCUCCUUUUGUUGUAUUGGGUCCUGUGUCUUGUUCAACUCAUCAGUCUCUUGGUGUGGCAACAUCGGAUGCAUUUACUUUUGCCUUCUGAAUGGAUUGUCAGACUACAUUUGGUAAUUUAAGUUGAUAAUGAAUGCUUAUCAUUUUGCAGAGAAACAAAAGAGGCGAGUUCAGAUAUGCACGAAAGUCCCACCUUCAAGCUGUAAAAGAAGUUUCUUUGGAGGUAUACUUUGCAUUUACUGGAGAUUUUAUUUGGGUACACUGCACUUGACAUAGCAAAGAGCUGAAAUUCUCAGUGACUGCAUUGCAUAGCACUGCUUAUAAUGUUGACAUAUUCUUCUAUUUGCAGCAGCAGGACCUUACAACGGUAUGUCCAACGGCAAAAGCAGCAUAAUGAAGAAGGCAAAAUUGGAAUUUUUAAACAGGUAAACUUGUCUUGAAGUGGUGCAAACCUGAGAGUUUUGAUGGCAUUCAUAGGAUGGAUGUUUUUUUAGGCCUUGUUUUUAUGCUUAAUGUAAAAGCACUUAAAUAUGUUGGAUCCUACAAAUCAAACAUGAUUUUGUAUCUGAGCCUUCUAAGGCAGUCAAUUACUAUUUGUGUUGAUAAAAUAUAUAAGGCUGUCGGAUCUCAGUCCUCAUGUAGGUACUGUGUGAGCUUGUGAAAUUUGAUUUUUCAGACAACUGAACAGGGUUAAAUCUAGUUGUUAAAUUGUCACACAGUUUUUGACCUUGUAAAGAACAAAUAGCAGUUAAAACUCUGAAUGCUGAAAUAGAAACAACAACCAGUUAAAACUCUGAAUGCUGAAAUCUGCUUGACUUUGACCCCAAACUUAUUAUGUCUCGACUUAUCUUUGGUUUACUCAGAUUUUACUUGGUUAGUUACAAUUUAAUGCUUUAUUACGUAAAUAUCCUGAACUUUUCUUCAAAUAUUUAACUUUCUCUAUAUCAACAGUCGUGAGGUCAAAAAUUUAGCAGCUGUGAAGAACAAGGCAGUGCAGACGAGUUACAGGUAAUCGCUUAAUUUUCCACGUGGGCUGUCAAUAUUUACUGCUGUGAAUCCUUGGCCACAUUCCUUAUUCUGUUGCUCGUAAUUCAGUGUUUCUUCUUCUAGGAAGCCCAGUGGUUUUUCAAGUGUUGCUUCUUCUUCAACAUUCAAACCAAAGCCCGUGCAGAGGAGAUUUUAGUAGGCUUUGUAAACUUAUCUUUCUAGAUUAGCGUUAUUAUUGCAAUGCCAAAGGUUACCUUUAGUUCAAUUGAAUUGUAAUGUGCGCUUAAAGAAUUGGGUCAACUUUCUUGAUCCAUUUAUCUUGGUGUUUUAUUUCUUCCAAUGUAUAGACAUCCUUUUGCUUUCAUUACAGAAAAGUUGUUUGGGCGAUGAUGAUAGAUCAUAAUUUUGUUUCUGAUUUUUACUGUGAUCUGCCCCUCGUAAAAUAUUGGCAGAUAUGAUGGCUGGAUGCUAUAAUAUACAAGUGAAAUGGUCUAUGAUACGAUUUUGCACCUACACAUGGCAUCCUGGAUUUUGGCUCACCCAAACCAACAUCUGUACAUCAAUUAAAGCAAAUAAAUAGACAUGACGGCCCAAACUCUUUCAAGAAACUAUUCUUUUGUCAGUUGUUAAAGGAGAAUGAGUUGGAUGUAACACAAUGAUUAACAUGAAGAUGACUAUACCUGUUCUAUUGUAAGUUUAUGUACCUUACAUUUUUCUUCCUUCUGACUUCUCCAUGAAACAAGCUCGUUUUUGUGUGCAUUUAUCCUGAAGGAAAAGCUUCAUAAAGAAAACAAAACCCAAAAAAAAAAGAGCAUAGUAGCAAAUUAGCCCAGGCUGAAGAGGUUAAAGAACAACGGCUGAGUCUUCGUAUUUGACAUUCAUUCAAACAAUUUUCGACAUCUAUGUACAGUGUCUAUAUCUUCUUUACAUGUGCAAUGGGCCACUCGAAUUAAGGUUCAAAUUGUUAGUCAAGUGGCUGCGGCAGGAAACUUUUAACUGAUUCCCUAGCCCGUGUUUUAAUUCACAGGCGCAAGAUGUCAAGCAGCUCGAGAGAGAAAAAGGAUAACUCCCAAUCAGAAAUCAAUUGGCGAUAAAUUAUCCAAAUUCAAUAAAUCUUGCUGAUGCAAAAGAUGAACGAAUUAACUCACAAAGACCUUGAUACAAACCAACCUCUUGGGUUUUACAGAAUAGGGCAUUUAAAACCAAUAGAAUGUUGUCUGAUCCCUAGAUUGAGGAUUCAAGUCUUAAUUUGAUCUGAUAAGUACAAACAAGGGUCGAACUCUUAUUCAAAAAACAAAGCCUAGUUCAUCUAGUAAUAACUUCUAUUCCUGUAACAUAGAACAAACAGCAAAAUGAAAGGAACAUGUCACAUGUUUGGAACGACUCAAGGCCUCCGUUCAGAAAAUGAUAUCCUCGUCUUUCUUUGAAGCUUGGGUUAACAAGUCGUGGGCUGAAUUAAGUGGAAAACCUUUCUUCAAAGCAAUGUCCGCAGCAACUUUUUCCUCAGCAAAGGCCUUCGCAGCAGCAACCUGUCUGUCAAUCUCUUUUUUCUUGUAACCUUGUAUCUUCUUCAGCCUGAAGAAAUCCUCUCUUUCCAAUUCAUCCAGUUCUCCCUUAAUGUAACUUAUUGUGUUCUCCAACCGAGGCUUCACAACAUUCUCAAGUGCAUUGACCCUGCGAUUUGUAGUUUUAAUUGCCUCAUCCAGAGUCAAAAAUGAAGUCUGAAGAGAUGCAAGCUCAACAAGCACCUCAAUUGCUUUAACAUAAGCAGUUCGGCAAGCCUGCACCUGCUGUCCACCUCUUGCUAACCCAGUCAGGUCAUUUUUUGUCUCUCCAUCAGUGAAAUAUUCAAAUUUAGGGAGCUUCACACCGGCAAUAUUUUCUUGGUGCGAUCGCACUUUAAGUGAUGCAUUCUGAACAUUUUCAAGGACAACAUGUUUGAUGUUGUCACCAGCCACAUAUUUAGCUUCUGUCAGAGAAAAAUAGGAACUUUUCAAAAUUUCACCCAUUGACUCCUUGGCAGACACAAUCUUCUUGAGAAUCUGUCGAAAUUGCACAGUCAAAGCAUCACUUUUCUUCUUGAGCAAAGCAUGACCUCUCGUUGCACCCACAAGGCGAGCUUUCACAACUCCAAGCAUUGUAACAGUAGGAACAACAUUCAAGCGCUGUGAUUGCCCAGACAUUUUGUCCAAUCUCUUAGCUGCAAAAAUUAUUAUAAAAUGAGCAUUUGUAACCUCCCAAAAAAAAAAAGUGCUGAUUGAUAAUUUAACAUCAACAUGCCAGUGGAAGAUGUUUUAUCAUAGAUAAAUAUGAAGCAGUUGUUCCCAAAUAAAGUUUUUACUUGAGGGUUCAGCCAUAACAUCAAUCAUGCAGUCAAUGGACUAUAAACCUCCAACUAUAGCUGACCAACUCUAUCAAGUGUAAAGCAAGAACCAUUUAUUUAUUAAUUUAAAAAAAACAAUAUUCUUUCCUCAUCUUUAUUCCCAUGGGAGUUCCCUCAGAUUUGGCAAACUCACUUUCAAAUCUAAGUCCUUAUUCUCCAAAGCCACCUCCCCCCCAAAAAAAAAAAAUGACAAAACACCCACACUUUGGAAAACUAAAAAAGUAACUAGAAUGUAUAUGUUCAGAAAAGGGAAAAGGUAAGGAAAGGAACUGCAUUAUUUCUUUUCCUCUCUGAUUAAGCCUCCAUCUCACCUAAGUUCUAAAGACUUUUAAAGAAAUAAAAUGGAAGUCAGUAUGCAAUCUCAUCAGUGUAAGAGACUUCACAAUGCAGCACCUCGUUAUAUCGUUUCUUCUCUCAUCUUUUUCAAACAAAGUUCAAAUUUCUUUUCUCUCUGCACCAAAUAAACUCAAUCCACGGGACCAUUCAUAAAUCUGCUAAAAAAAAUCACAUAAUCACACUUCAAGUUGUCACUCAAUCAUCUAGGAUAACUAUCCCAUACUCUCAACAAACUCAUUAUAUCUUCAUCAUUCCCACAACUUCCUCAACCAAUACCUCAAGUUUUCACUUGAAAAUUCCACCAAAGAAACAGGUGCAAGCAUACAGACACACAAAAUGUUCACCUACAGACACUAUAGUCCCUAUCACAAUAAAAAAAUUUUCACCAAGCCACAAGCAUAGAUCAAUCAAUAAUCACCAAUUCCAACUAUUUUCUGUACAAAAAGUGGUUUAAGGAAAAAAAUAAACAUUUCAGAAAACAGAUCACAAACACUUGAGCUCCAUAUUCCUCAAUAUCCAAAUCAACACAGAAAAUAAAACCCCAAAAAAAAAAAUAGAACACGCACUAGUAUGUGCCACAAUUCUUAACAAAAAGUUAAUGAAGCAAAAAAUUCAGAUACAUAGCAAUCGUAAUUGCCAAAAAGAAGAAAUUUAUGAAUUCUAAAAACAGAGAGAACAGGGAAAGUGAAACAGACGAAAUUUGUGCGCAAUUGUAUAUACAGACGCAGUGAAGGUGUUUGUGCGUGAAGACGAGAAACUGAGAGUUAAAAAAUACCUGCCGAAUGAAGAUGACUUGUGAGUAUAUAGAUUAUGUGGUGGUAGCCGCCGAAAUAGUGUCGCCGGAGGAGGUGAUCGCCACCGAGGACUGACGCCGGAGGAAGCGGGAAUGGGGGUUCUUCGGGAAAGAUCGCGGACUGGGAUCCAAAAACAAGCAGCGUGGUCCGAUUGGAAUUUUGCUUAGUUGUAAUAAAUAAUAAAUAAAUAUAGUUUGAAUAAUAAAAUAUAAUUAAAUCAAUAAUAGUAACGAUAAUAGUAGGAAUAAUUCUGCCGCUUAAACUUCUAACUAAGGGUGUUACGUGUUGCAGUUCAGCUACACGCAAUUUUGACUUUAUCCAGUUGGUAGGUCCCAACAUGUGAUGUCCUUAAUCAAUUGUCACCGCAAUUACAGAAGAAUUACUCCAAUGAUUUUGAUGAAAUUUUUCCCUUAACUUUUGGCUAAAUUGUGAGGAGCCUUUUUAUGCGUUGUUUUUUUUCUAUUAAGUUUAGUUAAUUUGUCUAAAUGCAUAAGUUAUAAUAAUUGUGCUUGUAUAUAUUUACAUAAUAAAUUAAGUGCAAUUUAGAAAGAUUAACAAGUGCUUAUUGAACACAAUUUUUUUAAAAAAAAAUCUAUCGGAGUUUUGCACACAUGUCGUGAAUUCAAUGUACACUGUCAGUAUGUAUAAAAUUUACUCUAAUAAUAAUCACCACCACGAGUUUAGAUGUGUGUUUGGAUUGUAAAUUAUUUGAAAUAAUUUUGUAAAAAAGUACUGUAACACUUUUUUGAUAUGAUGUAUAUGAAAUAAAAAAGUGAUUAGAAAAUGUGUUAAUGAUACAAGCAAAUCAGUGUGUGUAAAUAAAGUGAAAUAACACACAAUCCAAACACAAUCAUUUACUACUAGAGCGAUGAAUGUUGUUUUGUUUCUUUUAUCCAAAAAAAAAAAAAAAAUGUUGUUCUGUUUCUGCUAGUAAUUUAUUUAUUAGUUAUUAAAGGCCAAAUUGUCUACUAGAAAUUUUGCAUUUUCAAUUUCAGUAUGCAUGCAUAUUAUCAGGCCAUUGCUGGAUUAAAGGCAAAAUACCGGUACACACAAUUCCAUAUAUGCCAAAGAACCUUUAUUCUGACAAAAUUUCCAAAAGAUUGUACCAUGUACAAGAACUGAAAACAGAACUGAUGCUUUCCAGACACAACUUGCAGAGUCAGAUAUAGGAUCCAUCAAUGGACUAAAUAUAACACCUCAAUUACAUAUGGAUUCUUAUUAGUUGCUAUUACAUUGAAAGUAUAUCAUCAAAAUACUUGAUCGACACAGCCUGUUGAACACUUCAUUUUCUUUCUUUUUAUUUUGAAGCAUCAUUGAUCAUAGCUAAUCAUAAUCUUCUCGCCUCUGACUGAGCCAUGGUUGAGCUUAGGCUCCAGAACCAGCCAAACGCCUUCUGGUGGCGUUGGAAACAGAAACUUGGCCAAGUCUAUCCACCUCCUUUGCAAUCAUCCGCUCUUUCAGUGGCAUAUAGUGCCGCAACCAGACACCAGUAUAGACCUGCAGUGAAAUAGGAUACAAUGGCAUUGUAAUAUAUGAGCUUCAGAAAUUGUUUCAAGCAGCACUCUGACAAAACAAUGCAUCCUCCGUUCAAUAGCAAAUAAACUACCACUAUUUCCUCAAACCAGGACACAACGAUAGAAAAGAUGGAAACAGUAGCAAGCGAAACCUUAGUCGAAACAUUAAGAUUUAUACUUGCAAAUGAAAAUUUAGAGCAUAUUCGGUCUAUUCAUGUGAAGCUGCAAAAUAUAUAUAUAUAUGAAAUGGAAGUACAACAAACCUGUGCAGGUCUCAUUAUUUUUGUGUCAGGAUCAUCUAGAGACUCUCGCCAAUGAGAUAAAUACCCAGCCAUUCUAGGAAUGGCAAAUAAAACAGGAAAGAACUCCGUGGGGAAACCCAUUGCCCUGAUCAAGAAUAAUGAAAAUCUGUUAGAAAGAAGAUAAUGCAUUAAGAAUUGCUUGCUUGAUAAGAGUGGAAUCAAAUUUAUUUUCCCCAUUACCUAUAUAUUAGCCCAGAGUAAAAGUCAACAUUAGGAUACAACUUUCGCUUAACAAAGUACUCAUCUGAAAGGGCAGCUUUCUCCAAAGCAAUUGCAACCUGCAGGUGGCAUAAGAAAUCAGAUUAUAUAGUGCAAAAUAAGUGGUAUUUUAUAAAGAUGAAAGGACAAUAUAUUCAAAUUAUAAAAGCUUAUGCUACAAACUAGUGAUUGCCAGUACUUGGUUCAACUCAAAUAGAUGAUAGUUAAUAUUUAAAGUGAACAAAUUCCACCUCAAUGAGAGGAUCCCGGCCAACAAUUGAAAAUACUUCUUCUGCCAGCUUCUUUAUGACCUUAGCCCUGGGAUCAUAAUUCUUGUAUACACGGUGUCCAAAACCAGACAUCUUGCGCCUCCUACAGAAUUAAUAUUCCAAAAUAAUAUCAGCAGAAAAGCAAUGAAGCCAUAUGCUAAGAGAUAGUAUCAUCAUUUGUCUGAAAAGCCAUACCUGUUCUUCACACCCUCGAUGAAUUCCGGGAUUUUGUCAACUGUUCCAAUCUCACUCAGCAUCUUAAGCACAGCCUUUUGAAGCAGAAGAAAAGCAAGCUUAGCUAUGCGCAGUGUUGCACUAUAAGACUAAGGCUAAACAAAAAUAAAACCAAUGACAUCUCUGUUAACAUCAUAUUGACAGGUAACAAUGUCAAUAACGUUUUUUAUCCAGCUUAGCAUUUGCAAUGCUGUCGCCGGUCAACUGAAGUUUUUAGUUUCUAAAAGAAAAAAUGGCAAUAUACCUCAUUGGCUCCACCAUGAAGAGGACCAUACAGUGCUCCCACUGCUCCGGCAAGAGCAGUGUAUACAUCAACACCACUGCAUAAAAGAGAAUCAGAUUUCUGCCCAAGAGCAUAUGUAUAUUCUCUCAAUGCAGACAGAAAAUUCAUAUACCUUGAAGCCAGAUGUCGAGCAGCUGCUGUGGAACAAUUCAUUUCAUGUUCUGCAUGUAAUAUAAAAAGGAUAUCGAGAACACGAGCAAGACGAGGAUUGGGCUUAUACAACCUAUUACCUCUGCAGAUUUUGCCAACAUGAAGGGUUAAAUUAGCAUCCAAAUGCCUUGGAAGCAUGCCUAGUUGCUAUAGCAGCAUGUAUGCAGGACAUUAUGCAACACUUGUAAGAAAGGUAAUUAGUCUGAAUAAAGUUUCAAACUUUUCUGUACUGCAGUUCCCAUUAUCUGCCAAGCACUAGGCAAAAAAUAGCAGCACAACUUACAAUGAAUCAAGCAUGUAUAGGAAGUUCUCCGAGUAAGAAAGAUUGUUUGAUGGAAGAACAGGUGGCCUUCCCGCCAUUCUUAAAUAGGCUGCUGCUGCAAUUGUAGGUGCCUGCAAAAGAUAAAUAGAAGUUUAAAAACAGCUGAAAUAGGCCAGAUAGUUUUAUUAUGUUAUAUUUUUCAAGUAAAAAAAGUCCCUAUCAACUAUCAUCAUAAAUAAAAAACACUUCAUGACAAAACAAAAUAGCCAGAUGAAACUUAAAGCAAAUAACCAACCUUCCCAAGUAUGCGGACUAUUUGUUUAUCUCUAACUUGCUUGGACUUGUAUAAAUCUUGGCCCUGCAUAAACAACAAGAAAACAAAAUGUGCAAUAAAUAACAUGAACGCCUGCUUUGUUUUUUAUCAACAAAUAUGCUAAAUGAUCAUAAUCUACCAGAGACAUAAAAUCAACAGGAUCAGAUGAACGCCUAUAACCUAAGUAUGCCUACCACUAAGAUAACAAGGCAAGGGUAACAUAAGUACUUGAAGUAAAGGUUCACUUACUCUAAGAGCAGGAUUGGCAUCAGGAUGAAAGACAGAGAGAGCACUCAUGGCACUGACGAGCACACCCAUUGGAUGAGCAUCAUGAGGCAUUGCCUGUAUGAUAUCCUGCAAAACAGAAUUUGACAAACAUCAGAAAUUCUUCAGGAAGAAAGUUUGUUUUGUCUCCUCAUCAAGUAAAGAACAACUGUAUGAUAAAAUAUACGCACCAAAAUACCCUGUGGGACAGCUGAAUGUUGUGAAAUAGCAAACUCCCAAUCUGCCAACUGACUUUCAGAUGGUAGAUUGCCAUACACUGUCAAGACAAAAAACGCUUUAUUUGUCAAGAACUCUUCAGUUCCAAGCAUAAACAAGUGAUUCGAACAAACAGAUCGUGCAAAGAGUAAGCCUUGCAAAUUGCGUCCUCUACGACUUCCCAAGAUUUGUACAUAGAUAAUGAUUCCGGAUUAGAUGAGGAAAGGAAGAAAGCAUGCAAAUUGCACUCUCCUUAUUGAAAUCUUAACAGCACCUAUGGUACUUAAGAGUCCUCACCAGCCAGACAAAUUCAUGCACCAGACUGCCCAUAGAAAUGUAUUAAGCCAUAGACACAUAUUAAGCCAUAACAAGUGAACUCAUAACAGGGUGAUCUUCGUCUUGGAUAAUAAAAACAAUCUGCACAGAAGAUUAAGCCACAGAGCUGGCCGAAGUCCAAUUUGGGGGACACUCAGUUCUACAUCAAGAAAGAAAGGUAGCUACCAACAGAUUACGGUCCUCAAAAAGUAUGAAUCAAAAGAAAGGGAAUCUUAAUAAUAGCCUGGUAGCUGGUUAAUUAGUACUUCAUGCAUAGGGGAACCUUCAAACUCUUGUUUUACUAAGGGUCAAAAGAAUGAACCCCGUAUUGCUGCCCCCUGCCCACUCCACACAACCCCAACACUUUCACUUCCCUGUAUAUGACAUGCCUGAUUGAAAAGAAAUGGUAAAGAAGAAUGGGAGCAAAAUAUCAUUCACAAAAUCUAUGGAAUACUCACUCAAGAGGUAAGCCACCUCGACAAAGGAACUUCCUUCAGCCAGCUCCUCAAUUGGGAAGCCUCUGUAUCUAAGAAUCCCUGCAUCUCCAUCAAUGUAGCAAAUUGAUGAGCGAACAGGAGCUGUGUUCAGGUAGCCUGGAUCAUAAAGUUUGAGCCCCUUGUCAAUUGGUCCUGCAGUUAUCUGUUUAUUAAUUGUAUCAGAAAUCUCCAAAAAUCCAGACUUUUUCUCCCCUCAGACAAUAGCCAACAUGAACCAGAAUUUCACCAUUUUUUUUCACUUUUUACUCUCUAUGGAAUUUACCAUACCUUCAUGCAAUUCCAAACCUAGAAUUCCAAUUUUUACAGCCAAUACCACGACUAAUCUUACAUGCAGCUCAGCAAUCAUAUAAAUCAUGCUACAUGAGAUUUUUACUCAGCUCCGUAAGCACUUCAUCACGCUCAAUCCCAAAUAUUUUAAUUUCGAGGCCUUAAAAUACACAAAGACCAAAAGCCAGUCUUUUGAAAAUGACAAUACCUUUGCGGUACAUUCUCAUAAAAUGAAAACUAAAUAUACAGUAAGGAUUCCAAAGAAAUGUAAAAUUGGACAUGUAACCUUUAAACAAACUCAAUUCUCAAUAAUAAAAAAAAAUAAAUCCGAAAUUAUAACAAUAACAAACUCAAACAAAAAAAAAAUCAAAACUUAAAUAACGAAUAGCUACAGCAGUUAAUAGCGAGAAAUGACAUCUUAUUCGGCUUCAAUUUUAUUUGAAAAAAAAAAAAAAAGUUAACCUUUUUGAGAUCGGUGGCUUUAAUAGUGCCUUCUUCAGAGACCUGGACCUGGUACUUUUUACCGGUCCGUUCAUCGAUGAUCGUCAACGCACCCUUAACGUUGGGCGGAGGCGGGACGGAUUGAGCGGAGACGCAGGAACGUUCUAGAAUUGAGGACGGAACGGCGUCGGAAUGGUCAUGCGAAGCUGAAGCUGAAGCUGAGAGGUGAGCCGAGAGCACCGCUAAACGGCUACGAGCCACUACCGAAGAAUCCAAAUUCUCCAUCUUUUCUUUUGCUCAGAUUCAGUUGUAAAGAAAGAGAUGAAAAGAGAGAGUAGGAAGUGUUUCGUGAUUGUUACAGCUCUUUAUAUAUCCGUAGAGAUCGCUUGCGAAAGUACGCUGUAAGCAUUUACGCUAUUGCGUCUAACCAAUU